GACGAACGCUGGCGGCGUGCUUAACACAUGCCAGUCGAAUGGAAAGGCCCUGCUUGCAGGGUACUCGAGUGGCGAACGGGUGAGUAACACGUGGGUGAUCUGCCCUGCACUUCGGGAUAAGCCUGGGAAACUGGGUCUAAUACCGGAUAGGAGCCAUUUUUAGUGUGAUGGUUGGAAAGUUUUUUCGGUGUAGGAUGAGCUCGCGGCCUAUCAGCUUGUUGGUGGGGUAAUGGCCUACCAAGGCGGCGACGGGUAGCCGGCCUGAGAGGGUGGACGGCCACAUUGGGACUGAGAUACGGCCCAGACUCCUACGGGAGGCAGCAGUGGGGAAUAUUGCACAAUGGGCGCAAGCCUGAUGCAGCGACGCCGCGUGGGGGAUGACGGCCUUCGGGUUGUAAACUCCUUUCGCUAGGGACGAAGCUUUUUGUGACGGUACCUAGAGAAGAAGCACCGGCUAACUACGUG
rnacentral:rRNA from 1 species